CACGUAGGGUGCAAGCGUUGUCCGGAAUUAUUGGGCCUAAAGCAUCCGUAGCCGGUCAUGCAAGUCCUCCGUUAAAUCCACCUGCUUAACAGAUGGGCUGCGGAGGAUACUACAAGGCUAGGAGGCGGAAGAGGCAAGCGGUACUUAGUGGGUAGGGGUAAAAUCCUCUGAUCCAUUGAAGACCACCAGUGGCGAAGGCGGCUUGCCAAUACGCGCUCGACGGUGAGGGAUGAAAGCUGGGGGAGCAAACCGG
rnacentral:rRNA from 1 species